rnacentral:rRNA from 1 species
UAGUCAUAUGCUUGUCUCAAAGAUUAAGCCAUGCAUGUCUAAGUAUAAACAAUUUUAAACGGUGAAANNGNNGNNGGCUCAUUAAAUCAGUCAUAAUUUAUUUGAUGAUUACUUACUACAUGGAUAACCGUAGUAAUUCUAGAGCUAAUACAUGCGUAAAGUCCCAACUCUUGCGGGGAGGGAUGUAUUUAUUAGGUAAAAAACCAAUGCGAGGUAGCAAUAUCUCGGUUUUUGGUGAAUCAUAAUAACUGUUCGAAUCGCAUGGCCUUGCGCUGGCGAUAGUUCAUUCAAAUUUCUGCCCUAUCAGCUUUCGACGGUAGUGUAGUGGACUACCGUGGCAUUAACGGGUGACGGAGAAUUAGGGUUCGGUUCCGGAGAGGGAGCCUGAGAGAUGGCUACCACAUCCAAGGAAGGCAGCAGGCGCGCAAAUUACCCAAUCCUGACACAGGGNGGUAGUGACAAAAAAUAGCGGCCUCGAGCCUUUUAGGUUUGAGGACCGAAAUGAGUACAAUUUAAAUCCCUUAACGAGGAUCCAUUG